UCCGAAGUUUCCCUCAGGAUAGCUGGCUCUCGGGAAGAGACGAGUCUCAUCCGGUAGAGCGAAUGAUUAGAGGUGAUGGGGUCGAAACGACUUCAACCUAUUCUCAAACUCCCAAUAGAUGAGAGCCCCGGCUUGCUUGAAAGUGAAGCCGCGGGACACGGAUCAGAGGGCCAAGUGGGCCAAUUUUGGUAAGCAGAACUGGCGCUGUGGGAUGAACCAAACGUAGAGUUAAGGCGCCUGAUUCGACGCUCAUUUGAAACCAUGAAAGGCGUUGGUUGCUUAAGACAGCAGGACGGUG
rnacentral:rRNA from 1 species